GUGGGAGUGGAGCCGGAGCUUCGCUAGACCGUAAUUCCGCUGCUGUUUUCUUUUCUUUUAGACUAUCUUGAUGAAGGAGAAGAAGAUACUACAAGCAAAGCAUUGGCUCCUUUAUCUGAUGAUGUGAAGAAAACUCUAGGAAGUAUUUUGGAUCGGCUAGAGGCAUCAUCACUAGAUAGUUUGGUAGUUGACUGUGGCUCAAUCAGGGCUCGGCUGCAUGAGAUUCAAGCCUUAAUUCCAGAUGAAUUAGCCGAUAUCCUUACUCCAGCUGUUUACCUUGAGCAACACCAAUUCAAACUGGAGAAAGCCAAGUUAAGACUAGCCGAACGGCGAGAACGUAAGGACAUUGAAGCCACUAUCCAAGCCAACCGACAACUUGUGCAUGAAGAGAAGUCCAAGCUUGAUCAAUUAUCUGAAGGCCCAAUCAAAUCUAACAUUGAUCGGCUUGAGGCUCCCAAAAUUGAACUCUUAGCACAACUUGAAGAAUGUAAUGCUGAGCUAGAUAUGGAACACAAGAAACUGGCCGAUCUCCCAAAAUCUAUUGAAGAACAAAAAACAAGACUCAAAUCGGCUAUUAAGCAUGUUGCUGAACUGACCAAGUCCCUGAAAGUUAUCCCUGGAACCGAUGCUCACGAUGCCCAAGCCAUAGAAGAAGUAGAGCAGAUUAGGCAGAAAGCUAUAUCGGUUAUACAGCGAUACUUAUCACUGUAAUCUUAGUGCAAUAGGACUUAGAAUUCUUGUAAUCGGCUAAAACAUUCUGACUCUUCCAAAUCAUCGGCCGACAUAAAACCUUAGAAUUUCCUUUGAAAUUUGCACAGAAAAUUUUAUGAAUCUGAAAUGAAUCUGAAAAUUUUAUGAA